CAACGAUCCGUAAUCGAUGUAAUGUGGUCCCUUAUCUCCGGUAUCGUGGCAAGUCCAAAUAGUGCAACCAUUUUCUUCUCAAAAACCCGAUUUAAUUCCAUUUCACGAACAUAACAUCUUAAAUACCUUGAAAUAUUCCUCCCAUCAAAUUGAUCAAUUUUAUUGACCACUGCUUGCAAUGCUUUGAUUGCCAAAGCUUCCUUUCGAUCAUUGCUUUGCUGUUGCUGCAUUGACAAUGAGAAGGCUUGAAACAAACUA
rnacentral:lncRNA from 1 species